GGUGCUAUAGUGUAGUGGUUAUCACUCGGGAUUUUGAUGAAGGGCCAUCGCUCACGAGCUUCCCGGAACCCAGGUUCGAACCCUGGUAGCACCU